rnacentral:rRNA from 1 species
GACGAACGCUGGCGGCAUGCCUAAUACAUGCAAGUCGAACGAGAGCGACCGGUGCUUGCACUGGUCAAUCUAGUGGCGAACGGGUGAGUAACACGUGGGUAACCUGCCCAUCAGAGGGGGAUAACAUCCGGAAACGGAUGCUAAAACCGCAUAGGUCUUCGAACCGCAUGGUUUGAAGAGGAAAAGAGGCGCAAGCUUCUGCUGAUGGAUGGACCCGCGGUGCAUUAGCUAGUUGGUGAGGUAACGGCUCACCAAGGCCGUGAUGCAUAGCCGACCUGAGAGGGUGAUCGGCCACAUUGGGACUGAGACACGGCCCAAACUCCUACGGGAGGCAGCAGUAGGGAAUCUUCCGCAAUGGACGCAAGUCUGACGGAGCAACGCCGCGUGAGUGAAGAAGGUUUUCGGAUCGUAAAACUCUGUUGUUAGAGAAGAACAAGUGCUAGAGUAACUGUUAGCGCCUUGACGGUAUCUAACCAGAAAGCCACGGCUAACUACGUG